UUAAGCGACUAAGCGUACACGGUGGAUGCCCUGGCAGUCAGAGGCGAUGAAGGACGUGCUAAUCUGCGAUAAGCGUCGGUAAGGUGAUAUGAACCGUUAUAACCGGCGAUUUCCGAAUGGGGAAACCCAGUGUGUUUCGACACACUAUCAUUAACUGAAUCCAUAGGUUAAUGAGGCGAACCGGGGGAACUGAAACAUCUAAGUACCCCGAGGAAAAGAAAUCAACCGAGAUUCCCCCAGUAGCGGCGAGCGAACGGGGAGCAGCCCAGAGCCUGAAUCAGUGUGUGUGUUAGUGGAAGCGUCUGGAAAGGCGCGCGAUACAGGGUGACAGCCCCGUACACAAAAAUGCACAUGCUGUGAGCUCGAUGAGUAGGGCGGGACACGUGGUAUCCUGUCUGAAUAUGGGGGGACCAUCCUCCAAGGCUAAAUACUCCUGACUGACCGAUAGUGAACCAGUACCGUGAGGGAAAGGCGAAAAGAACCCCGGCGAGGGGAGUGAAAAAGAACCUGAAACCGUGUACGUACAAGCAGUGGGAGCACGCUUAGGCGUGUGACUGCGUACCUUUUGUAUAAUGGGUCAGCGACUUAUAUUCUGUAGCAAGGUUAACCGAAUAGGGGAGCCGAAGGGAAACCGAGUCUUAACUGGGCGUUAAGUUGCAGGGUAUAGACCCGAAACCCGGUGAUCUAGCCAUGGGCAGGUUGAAGGUUGGGUAACACUAACUGGAGGACCGAACCGACUAAUGUUGAAAAAUUAGCGGAUGACUUGUGGCUGGGGGUGAAAGGCCAAUCAAACCGGGAGAUAGCUGGUUCUCCCCGAAAGCUAUUUAGGUAGCGCCUCGUGAAUUCAUCUCCGGGGGUAGAGCACUGUUUCGGCAAGGGGGUCAUCCCGACUUACCAACCCGAUGCAAACUGCGAAUACCGGAGAAUGUUAUCACGGGAGACACACGGCGGGUGCUAACGUCCGUCGUGAAGAGGGAAACAACCCAGACCGCCAGCUAAGGUCCCAAAGUCAUGGUUAAGUGGGAAACGAUGUGGGAAGGCCCAGACAGCCAGGAUGUUGGCUUAGAAGCAGCCAUCAUUUAAAGAAAGCGUAAUAGCUCACUGGUCGAGUCGGCCUGCGCGGAAGAUGUAACGGGGCUAAACCAUGCACCGAAGCUGCGGCAGCGACGCUGAUGCGUUGUUGGGUAGGGGAGCGUUCUGUAAGCCUGCGAAGGUGUGCUGUGAGGCAUGCUGGAGGUAUCAGAAGUGCGAAUGCUGACAUAAGUAACGAUAAAGCGGGUGAAAAGCCCGCUCGCCGGAAGACCAAGGGUUCCUGUCCAACGUUAAUCGGGGCAGGGUGAGUCGACCCCUAAGGCGAGGCCGAAAGGCGUAGUCGAUGGGAAACAGGUUAAUAUUCCUGUACUUGGUGUUACUGCGAAGGGGGGACGGAGAAGGCUAUGUUGGCCGGGCGACGGUUGUCCCGGUUUAAGCGUGUAGGCUGGUUUUCCAGGCAAAUCCGGAAAAUCAAGGCUGAGGCGUGAUGACGAGGCACUACGGUGCUGAAGCAACAAAUGCCCUGCUUCCAGGAAAAGCCUCUAAGCAUCAGGUAACAUCAAAUCGUACCCCAAACCGACACAGGUGGUCAGGUAGAGAAUACCAAGGCGCUUGAGAGAACUCGGGUGAAGGAACUAGGCAAAAUGGUGCCGUAACUUCGGGAGAAGGCACGCUGAUAUGUAGGUGAAGUCCCUUGCGGAUGGAGCUGAAAUCAGUCGAAGAUACCAGCUGGCUGCAACUGUUUAUUAAAAACACAGCACUGUGCAAACACGAAAGUGGACGUAUACGGUGUGACGCCUGCCCGGUGCCGGAAGGUUAAUUGAUGGGGUUAGCCGCAAGGCGAAGCUCUUGAUCGAAGCCCCGGUAAACGGCGGCCGUAACUAUAACGGUCCUAAGGUAGCGAAAUUCCUUGUCGGGUAAGUUCCGACCUGCACGAAUGGCGUAAUGAUGGCCAGGCUGUCUCCACCCGAGACUCAGUGAAAUUGAACUCGCUGUGAAGAUGCAGUGUACCCGCGGCAAGACGGAAAGACCCCGUGAACCUUUACUAUAGCUUGACACUGAACAUUGAGCCUUGAUGUGUAGGAUAGGUGGGAGGCUUUGAAGUGUGGACGCCAGUCUGCAUGGAGCCGACCUUGAAAUACCACCCUUUAAUGUUUGAUGUUCUAACGUUGACCCGUAAUCCGGGUUGCGGACAGUGUCUGGUGGGUAGUUUGACUGGGGCGGUCUCCUCCUAAAGAGUAACGGAGGAGCACGAAGGUUGGCUAAUCCUGGUCGGACAUCAGGAGGUUAGUGCAAUGGCAUAAGCCAGCUUGACUGCGAGCGUGACGGCGCGAGCAGGUGCGAAAGCAGGUCAUAGUGAUCCGGUGGUUCUGAAUGGAAGGGCCAUCGCUCAACGGAUAAAAGGUACUCCGGGGAUAACAGGCUGAUACCGCCCAAGAGUUCAUAUCGACGGCGGUGUUUGGCACCUCGAUGUCGGCUCAUCACAUCCUGGGGCUGAAGUAGGUCCCAAGGGUAUGGCUGUUCGCCAUUUAAAGUGGUACGCGAGCUGGGUUUAGAACGUCGUGAGACAGUUCGGUCCCUAUCUGCCGUGGGCGCUGGAGAACUGAGGGGGGCUGCUCCUAGUACGAGAGGACCGGAGUGGACGCAUCACUGGUGUUCGGGUUGUCAUGCCAAUGGCACUGCCCGGUAGCUAAAUGCGGAAGAGAUAAGUGCUGAAAGCAUCUAAGCACGAAACUUGCCCCGAGAUGAGUUCUCCCUGACCCUUUAAGGGUCCUGAAGGAACGUUGAAGACGACGACGUUGAUAGGCCGGGUGUGUAAGCGCAGCGAUGCGUUGAGCUAACCGGUACUAAUGAACCGUGAGGCUUAACCUU
rnacentral:rRNA from 2 species